UCGUCUAGAAUUUUCAAGUAAAAUAAUUUAAUAUUUUUUACAAUAAUUUCAAUUACAUAUCUAAUCUGUAGGUUAUUGUGAAAUUUUGACUAUUCGAAAAAAUGAGAUAGAAUGGAACGUACAUAUGAAGCCAUGUAUAACAGUUAAAUCGCAAUAAUGAGGCCAAAUAGUAUGGCAAAUAAUCAUACGAGCCGAAUGACAUGAUCGUCAUCCAACACUACUAUUAUAUUCGUUUCGUAAAACGUAUUACUCGCUCAGGAUUGCCGGCAGUUACUUAAAUCGCCAAACGUAGGCGAUUCUUACAACAUGCUCGAGCACGCGGGAGUCACUUUCCCCGCAACCCCUUAUAAAUUCACCAUUAAUUCCUCCUUCCAGCUAUUUGAGUAAAAUAUCAAUUUUUAAUCAAUGAUUCAAAUACAAAAAUUAUAUCCUUCGAGAUUCCUAAUUACAUGUGUGACUAUAAUUACUACAGAGCUAAAAACUAUAAGGAAGAUAUUUAACUUACUUCAAAACUGGAAUGAGAAAGCAGAGAGAAGACUAAUUUGUCUGUGUUUCCAGAUGAUUAAUGGAAUAAAAAUGAUAAAGAAAACACACAAAAAUCACUCAGAUACAAUAAAAAGCGCAAAGUCGAUACAAAGAUAUAUAUAAGGCUCUCAAUGCAGAAUUAAUAACUCUUUUAUUCAUGGAGUAGCUGAUUUGUUGAACCUGUAAUCAGCUGUUAUGAAUAUAUUCCUUCAACUACUACAUAGGGGCUUUAUUGUAUUUACAGAAUUACAACCACACGACGAUGAAUAGUACAAAACAUCCAGGAAUGAAUAUUGAAUGGAUCUGUCAUAAACUUGUCCCAAAAAAGCAUCCAGUAGCCAUACCCAAUCACUCAGGACACCUUUACUCUAUUUAUAAUCUCACUAAGUUAUUCAACCUUGAAAGGAUCAACCAGCAAAUCGAAAAAUCACUUGAGUUCCUAUUACGAAGAUAAAGGGAUCACACUAAAUGACCUACAGGAUCAAUAGUUUCGCAAAACAACUCAUAGUAGUCUCUAUAGUACACACGUGGUUAGACUAUACCAAUUUGCUAUAAUGAUUCGCCUUUGGCAUAUUUACAGCCGCUAAUUCGUUUCCUAAUCUGAUUUCGUAAUUUUAGUAUAGUGUUGCGUUAUCUUGAAUAGCCGAUACAGGCCAGUCUGUGACGGGACACUUGAUUAGUCCCGACAUAAUUAUCGCUAAUUAUAGCUGACACAGUGAAAAUGAGUUCGGGGUAGAGGCUGGCCUGCAUGGAAGCUCGUGUCCCAUAAGAGCGCCCAGAUUCUGUCUUUCUCUUUCUAAUGUUUGCCACGGAAUCACGGAGUGAACGUUUUGAUGCACCGUCUACUCCGUAAUCGGGGAUAAACGGUUAUACAUCCUGAGGGUCGCUCUCGGAUUCUCUCAAUGGGAUUGAAGCUGCUGGAAUCUUUUUUCUAAUUUAUCCUAGUCACUAUCAGAUCCAAUAGAGCUAACAUCUGAUCGUCAAUCCAGCAUAUUUAUUGCAUCGUAGAAGUACCAACGUAACGCGUCUCUUCUCACUGACCGUUCUCCGACAGUUUUAAACGAAGUCAAGGAAAUUAACUUUAAAUGGAGCGUUGGGGCUCGCAGAAAGCACUUUCAAAACUGUUGUAGCACCGAUUAAACCAGCAACUCAUCUUUCACGUCGGCCAAUCUUAGACCGCGAAUCAGACGCAUCCUAUCCGAUUACGUCACGUUGUUUUCUCACACAUCCCCUGUCACCGGUGGAAGGACAAAACUGCUCGUGUUUGUCCUUCCUGUUUCUAUGGGGCUCAGUUCUGUGUCUUCAAUGCGAGAGAUUAGUUGAAAGUUUAAUCAUUAUUGACUUUAAAAAUAGGAAAAUAAAAGAUUUUGUGGUUGAGUUAAGUAAUUACUUUAACCCACAUAUUGAAGUCUUUACAUUUUUGUUUUAAAAUAAUAGUAAUUGUAAUUAUUAUAUAUUAGGUACAUCGUUUUUAUUAUUUUAUUUUUAUACGGUGAAUUAUUGGCUCAAUUUUAAUAUACAUAAUAUAGAUGUAUUAAAACAUAUGUAGGUAUGCAUAGUAUUUCAAAUGGGUUAGUUACUAAUACGUCCUUAAUCAUCGAUUUAGGACUUCCAAAUAAGUUUUAGAGCUAAUAACGGCUAGAUCAUUUAUAUAGAUAUUUUUAUGGUUCUAGACCAUAAUAAAAUGCAAAAUCCAAAGAAUGUUUAUUUCUAUUGAAAACUUAAGAAUACACGACGUAUAUUAAUCCAAUCCGUUAAUGUCGUGGAUGCUCAAAAAGGAACUCGACGUUAUGCGCUCAUUUAUCAUAUAUCAGUGUUUCGUAUGAAACGAACUGAUUUUACGCAGCGUCUAAUGAUUAAUCGACUAUCAUUAAAAUGAAUCUCGCAAACGAUAGGGGAAUUGUCAUUACGCCUACGUGAGUAUUUAUCUGCAGAUACGUAAUAACCGUACAAAAAAUAAAUAAAUAAAUAAUAACUAAAACUCUUUUCUAAAAGAAUUUACUU